AAAACUUUCAACAAUGGAUCUCUUGGUUCCGGCAUCGAUGAAGAACGCANCGAAAUGCGAUAAGUAAUGCGAAUUGCAGAAUUCCGUGAGUCAUCGAAUCUUUGAACGCACAUUGCGCCCCCCGGCUUCCCGGGGGGCAUGCCUGUCCGAGCGUCAU
rnacentral:rRNA from 1 species